UGGCGGGACGGGGUGGGGUAAGUGUCUGGGAAACUGCCUGAUGGAGGGGGAUAACUACUGGAAACGGUAGCUAAUACCGCAUAACGUCGCAAGACCAAAGAGGGGGACCUCGGGCCUCUUGCCAUCGGAUGUGCCCAGAUGGGAUUAGCUAGUAGGUGGGGUAACGGCUCACCUAGGCGACGAUCCCUAGCUGGUCUGAGAGGAUGACCAGCCACACUGGAACUGAGACACGGUCCAG
rnacentral:rRNA from 1 species